UAUAAGGGAUUUUAAGUUUUUACUUGUACUAUUUGAACACUCGUCUUAUUAAAAAAAUUUAAAAUUAUUAUUUAUUUUUUUACUUACUUUAUCAUCUAUAGUACUUUAAGCAUAACUUUUCGUUUUUUAUAUUUGCACAAAUUUUUUGAAUAAGACGAGUGGUCAAACAGUGCAAGCAAAAACUCAAAAUCGCUUGUAUU
rnacentral:pre_miRNA from 1 species